CAAUAGCGUAUAUUAAAGUUGUUGCAGUUAGAACGCUCGUAGUCGGAUUUCGGGGCGGGCCGACCGGUCUGCCGAUGGGUAUGCACUGGUCGGCGCGUCCUUCCUUCCGGAGACCGUCCCUACUCUUAACUGAGCGGGGGCGGGAGACGGGACUUUUACUUUGAAAAAAUCAGAGUGUUUCAAGCAGGCAGCUCGCUCUUGCAUGGAUUAGCAUGGGAUAAUGAAAUAGGACUUUGGUGCUAUUUUGUUGGUUUCGAACACCGAAGUAAUGAUGAGAAGGGACAGUCAGGGGCACGCGUAUUCCGCCGAGAGAGGUGAAAUUCUCAGACCAGCGGAAGACGAACCACUGCGAAAGCAUUUGCCAGGGAUGUUUUCACUG
rnacentral:rRNA from 1 species